CGGCGGACAAACCAAAACUCUUGUUAUCUUAGUUGAUUCUCUGAGCGUCUUAUUUAAUAAGUCAAAACUUUCAACAACGGAUCUCUUGGUUCUGGCAUCGAUGAAGAACGCAGCGAAAUGCGAUAAGUAAUGUGAAUUGCAGAAUUCAGUGAAUCAUCGAAUCUUUGAACGCACAUUGCGCCCAUUAGUAUUCUAGUGGGCAUGCCUGUUCGAGCGUCAUUUCAACCCCUAAGCACAGCUUACUGUUGGGACUCUACGGCUUCGUAGUUCCCCAAAGACAUUGGCGGAGUGGCAGUGGUCCUCUGAGCGUAGUAAUCUUUUAUCUCGCUUCUGUUAGGUGCUGCCCCCCCGGCCGUAAAACCCCCCAUUUUUUCUGGUUGACCUCGGAUCAGGUAGGAAUACCCGCUGAACUUAAGCAUAUCAAUAAGCGGAG
rnacentral:rRNA from 1 species